CUCCUUCUCUGUUUCUGGUUUUCAUAACACAUAAAGCAUGGAAGAACCGGUUAAGCUCAGGAGGGAUAGCGCCGAAUGUAACAGUCACGGUACUCCUUUGGCGCUAUCCAUCCUGAGUUUCCUCGCUUCUUCUUGCUAGCUAGCCAGCUUACGGACGGCG
rnacentral:pre_miRNA from 1 species